ACUCCUACGGGAGGCAGCAGUGGGGAAUAUUGCACAAUGGGCGAAAGCCUGAUGCAGCAACGCCGCGUGAGCGAUGAAGGCCUUCGGGUCGUAAAGCUCUGUCCUAUGGGAAGAUAAUGACGGUACCAUAGGAGGAAGCCCCGGCUAACUACGUGCCAGCAGCCGCGGUAAUACGUAGGGGGCAAGCGUUAUCCGGAAUUACUGGGCGUAAAGGGUGCGUAGGCGGUUUAUCAAGUCAGGGGUGAAAGGCUACGGCUCAACCGUAGUGAGCCUCUGAAACUGGUGAACUUGAGUGUAGGAGAGGAAAGUGGAAUUCCCAGUGUAGCGGUGAAAUGCGUAGAUAUUGGGAGGAACACCAGUGGCGAAGGCGACUUUCUGGACUACAACUGACGCUGAGGCACGAAAGCGUGGGGAGCAAACAGGAUUAGAUACCCU
rnacentral:rRNA from 1 species